GCAGACUCACUCUGUACCCGGCUGCCGUCCCAGGCGGGUGCUUUUUCCGUCUGCCACAGAAAUUUCUGGGGUGCUGUGACUACCUUGACUUGUUAAGGGUGAUGCAGCUGCCCAGAGACAUAGGA
ensembl:snoRNA